AAAUAAGAAACAAAUAAUUGUAUCUAGUUUCGACCUAGACCUUUGAUGAGCCCAUCCUUAUUUA
rnacentral:tRNA from 1 species